AUUAGCUGACGAGUUCUAAAUAGGACGAAACGUACGUCCUGGAU
rfam:Schistosoma curassoni strain Dakar, Senegal genome assembly, scaffold: SCTD_scaffold0002441